UACGGAGGAUCCAAGCGUUAUCCGGAAUCAUGGGGUUUAAAGGGUCCGUAGGCGGUUUUGUAAGUCAGUGGUGAAAGCCCAUCGCUCAACGGUGGAACGGCCAUUGAUACUGCAAGACUUGAAUUAUUAGGAAGUAACUAGAAUAUGUAGUGUAGCGGUGAAAUGCUUAGAGAUUACAUGGAAUACCAAUUGCGAAGGCAGGUUACUACUAAUGGAUUGACGCUGAUGGACGAAAGCGUGGGGAGCGAACAGG
rnacentral:rRNA from 1 species